AGUAGCUCAACUGGUAGAGCGGCGGUCUCCAAAACCGCAGGUUGGGGGUUCGAGUCCCUCCUGG
rnacentral:tRNA from 1 species